rnacentral:rRNA from 2 species
AAGUUAACAUUAGAUGCAAGCGUGCAUAUGAAGCAUGCGUAGAUAAACCAAGCGUUAAAAUAACGGUAUAGUAUCUAAAGUUAGACCCGAAGCCUAGGGAUUUUACCACAAUCAGGAUUAUAAAAGUCCGAACGGUAUAUUGUUGCAUAAAUAUCCGAAGAAUUGUGGUAGGUAUAGUGAAAGACAACACUGACUAGGAAUA